UGAGGAAUAUUGCGCAAUGGGCGAAAGCCUGACGCAGCGACGCCGCGUGGAGGAUGACGGUCUUCGGAUUGUAAACUCCUGUUAAGUGGGAAGAAAAGCCUAAUUCUAAUACAAUUAGGUUAUGACGUUACCACUAAAGAAAGCACCGGCUAACUUCGUGCCAGCAGCCGCGGUAAUACGAGGGGUGCUAGCGUUAUUCGGAAUUACUGGGCGUAAAGGGUGCGUAGACGGCGCAUUAAGUCUGUUGUUAAACCCUCCGGCCUAACCGGAGAUCAGCGAUAGAAACUAAUGUGCUUGAGGAUGGAAGAGAGAAGUGGAAUUCUCGGAGUAGCGGUAAAAUGCGUAGAUCUCGAGAGGAACACCAAUGGCGAAGGCAGCUUCUUGGUCCAUUCCUGACGUUGAGGCACGAAAGCGUGGGGAGCAAACAGGAUUAGAUACCCGUGUAGUCC
rnacentral:rRNA from 1 species